AGGAGGAGAAUUCAACUCCAGCGGCAUCCUGACGCAGACACGGGGUCUACCGGCAACACACACAUUUAUCUACUCCAACAUCUCUCUGGAGGAAUCAGGAAAGGCUGGAGAGAUUGCUACCAUACCUCUAACUAAGAUCAUUAUGCAGAAGUACCAACGCUUCUCCUGGGUGGCCAACCUGAUCCAGAUCUUCAUCGCCAUCAGCAUAACGGUGUCAUUCCUCGUGAUGGGAUCGGCAAUGAAGCACACAAUCGAGGGGCUCGUAAGCUCACAGUGGGACUUCAAGACGGAGUGGCUGUCUAAAAUCAAGUGGACAAUACCGCAGUCUCUGCAGAGGCACAAUACCAAAGGGUACUUUCCCUUUCCUUCCCUCGGACAUCUCUGGAUCUGUUCUGCCGUGAGAUAAUUUCACAGGCCAUUUGUUGCACCCCUUUUUU
ensembl:lncRNA